AGACUGCUCAAUGCUGGAGCCUGAAAGCAUGCUGCAGGCUGCAAAAUUCUUUGAGGACCACAACCUGCCUACUAAUCUCAUGCAGUUAGAGGGGUGCACAAAAGCUGUGACCCAAAUCUGUGGAUACAGACACUGCAGACCCACCAGGCUACCAAAGGAUAGGAAGGUAAGUGUGCAAAGGCUGUCCCUUUACAGGUCCCCAACACAUGUGUGCUGACACAUGAGCAGGACUGGCAAAGGCCUUUGAAAUGACACCAGGAAAGAGUGUACCGUCUUCCCAAUGACCUCAUGCUGAGUUCUGCCACGAUCCACCCACUCUCACAGGUUAUUCCCUGCUCUCCAACUACUGCUCAGCACUCACCAGGAUCGGUCCGGAUGCCACAGCCUGCACACCGGUAAUUCUGCUUGGCCACAGCCACCUUCCUCCUGUCCAGAGACAAACCAUGACAUAGGUGAAUCCAGGCCUGAUGGCACCCAGCACCAGACAACGGGCACUGACACAGCUCUGGACAUGCGCAUCCGCAUUCUUUGCCACAUAAGUGUGGAUGACAGCUAAGUGGACCUGAUGCACACCAAAGACAGGAAGCACAGGCACCAGAUGUGAAGAUGGCCAAUGUGGAUUUAGCAGGCUGAGAGCAGAGAAGCCCUGCUAGCCAAGUAGGAAAGGAAGGACAAUCAACUAUGGAAAAACCUAGAAAAACAAUGGGGAAAAAUGGGGGGAAGGGGCAGGUACCCAGAGAGCCCUCUGCUGUGUGGAUCCUUACGUUGGGGCUGGAUGAACGUUGAAGAUGAUCUGUGGUCGUGGGGGGGCCCACUCCAGGUUUCCGCGCACCCGAAUCCUCAGCUUGUAGAUGUCAGCGUGUUCUCCAUCAUCGGGAGAGACAGGCAGAGAGUCGGGGAUGGGCAGGAGCUGGGAGAGGCAGGUAAAAGGGUCAGACCCCUGCCUAAAACUACAUAGGCCAUGUGCCUGGCACCUACUGUCUAGCCCUGCCCCAACACCAGGUUGCUGCAGCUGAACAGAAGGGCUGGAAGAAGGGACAUCCCCAGAGGUCUGAGCACUCUGCUGUACGAGGCCGCAGGAGCAGAGCCCAGCACUGCUACACCUUAUUUGCUCAUGGGCUCUUCAAGAACUUUCACUAUUUCCAGGCAGCCCAGGAAACUGGACAAGUCUCCUCGUGCUUCCCAAGCACAGCUUGUCUCCCAGCUCACUGGGGUGUGUGAUGCUUCAGCCCUUCAGGGCAUGGGCAAGCCUGGCAGAGAGUUCAGCACCGUGCUGGAUGGAGAUCCUGGUACUGAAUGUGAUGCUUUCAAGGAGUCUGAUCAUAUGCUGCUCAGAUCCCCAGGACAACUGCAUAUCAAAGAGCAACCUGCACUUCAAGGAGACCAAACAGCAGCCUCUGUGAAGAAACCACGUGGAGGAGGGCUGAGCACAAGACAGGCAAACCCACCAUGAUACCAAUGUUAUCCUCUGCAGACGUUAGUAAGAAAAGGCCAAGGCACUGCUGCCCCAGGAGGAUGUGGUAGCAAAACUCCCUGUGAGAACAUGCUGCAGGGGGCAAGAAAGAAGCCACAUAGCUGGGUUGAGAGCCUCCCAGAGAGCUCUCAGCACCGCUGUAGAUACCUUCUGUUCUUUAAGCAGUUCUUUACUUCUUUCUGGCUCCUCCAUGAGACCCCAUAGCACCGUGACAGCUCAUUUCCAACACUGGUGCCUCAACAAAAGAACCAUUUGGCAUAUUGACAGUUGCUGUGCCCAUGCACUCCCAACCUACCAGCAUGAGUUUUUUAGAAAGCUGCCUUUUCUUAUACCAGCCAGGCUGCCUGAACAGCUUUUCUAGAGACCAUCUCAAACCCUGAAAACCAACGGCAAACAAGCAAUCAAGGUGCCUAGCAAGAGCAGUGGGUGAGUAGCCACGCAGGCUGUGCUUCUGCCCCAGCUGUAGGGGCUUUUGUCCCAGUUGUGCCCAAGCACAACUUCUGUUUGGGAGCCACCACUGUUCCCAAAGUGCUGCCUCUGUCCUUGCAGCCCUCUCAGCUGUUAGCCAAGGCAUUGCACAGCAAGUGGCAGGGCCUGGACAAGACCUAUCCUUCUCACCUCCAGCUUCAUCAGAACUAGCAAAGGCCCUGGGCAGUGGGCAUGAAGCCAGGGGAUCUGGGAAAAGGAUCAAAUAAUCGGUGAGUUGGGAUUUCCAAAGAGCAGUGAGAGCUCUGCACUGUGUGCUUUUCCAAUCACUUGUUUCGGUACCGCCCUGCUCCUGUGCUGGCACCUCCAGGCAGUGCCCAUGUGCCUUGGUGGAGCCACCCCAGUCACUCUGCCACCCUCCUGUACACAAACAUACUCACACCCCUACCUUCUGUGGGGCGUCGUGUUCAGGGACCAGCCAUUCCAAUUCGGAAGCAGCCGGCAGCUGCAUGCCCUCAAACUGCUUCAGCAAACCCAUGGCCACAGCUUCUGCUGAGUUUGAAUUGCCGAAUGAGUGGGAUCUAGCCAAAAAAGGAAGCAGUUAGUACCAGGGUCUCAAAGCUGUGCUGCUUCAUAUUCUCCUGUUCUCUGAUGCUAUUCUCAGCUCAAGCAGGGACACAGCUUUACACCUGUCCCAGAUGAGAGAGGAAUGCAAGGGAAGCACAGCGCCAGCAGCAAGCCAGAAGCCAGGCCGGCUCCUCUAAGUCAUGCCAGCUCCUCUUCCCAGCCUCCUACUACUAGGAAUUGUGGGGAUCUUCGCAGACACACCCACAUCAUAUCUCAUGUGCACAUAGCAUGUGAAUGACCUUUAUCAUCCCAGGAGCUGCUUCCCAAAUUCAAGAGUAGGACCCAGCUGUGCCUCACUGGAUACAGCAGGACUGACGGGAAGCUCUGAGCACCAGCAUCUCCAGCAGGAGCAGCACACUGACGUCAAAUGCCUGACAGCAGAGAUCAGCAGCUAAGCAAUACCAGGCUGCACAUGAUUGCAGCAUCCAGAGCUUCCAAUAGGUAAGAAACACCUCUGUUCCAGCUGUUCUCACUGCUUUUCCCUCAAGGACCUCUUUGUAGAAGGAUUGUUCCCCAAGUCAGGUCUAGGCAGGAAGGGAAGGGCUUGCCACAGUUUGAAUCAGUCAUUGCACGCCAGUUCUGUGGAAUUAAGCAGGAUAACUCUUCCCCAAGGCACCAACAGCUUCAGAGCACUUUGGCCCUGUGCUAGCUCUGCCUUGCGGCCAAAAGCUGGCAGUAGAGUCCUUUACAGAGCAAGGCUCCUUUCUCUGUGGUUCUCUCCUUGUCUUGCAUGUGAUCAGAGAAGCAAUUGUUUUCAUCAGGGCAGCUCCAUUCAGAGCCAUCAUGUUGGAGGGCAGAACCUCUGGGAUGGAGACCAGGUCCCACAGCAGAGGACUGCUGUCACCGAGCCCAGCAGCUACAGAAAUACAGAGCUAUGCUUUUGCCUUCCUGAGUCCCACCCCAGGCUAGACAAGUCUUCCAAGCAGCAGGCAUGUUUUGUGUAUUCAAAACACUGCAUGGAAAAACGCCCUGGGGGACAGUGCUCAGGCAGAGCUCCUCUGCUUCCUCUUUGCUCCCAACAAAGCAUCAUCCUUCCACAGCUCUUCUUGCUGACACUUGGAUGACACUGUGUCACUGUUCCUAAAUCAGAAAGCGUGAGGAGCUGGUUUACUUGCACUGAGCCGUGAGGACGGACAGCUGAAAUAUCCACACCAGGGCUUAGGCCAGGGCCUGACGUUAAAUUUCAGUGAUUUGUUGCCUGGUCUGAAGCUGAUCUGCUGAUUAACUCAAUACAUGAUGAGCCUGUACAGAGAUCGAGGCCUCUGCACUCCCUGCAAUACCCUGAGGGGGCACACUGAGAACUGUGCACGUGCGAGGCACACACACGCACACACCUUGCACACACACGCACGCGUGCCAAGGGAGCACUGCGGGGUACUACCUGAGAACAAGGAAGCCAUUGACACUGAGAGGCCGUCCUUGGACAUUUGAAUCAGGUUAGAUCCAUCGUUACCAUCUGUAUAACAUGGUGAUGACAAAACAGUUCACUUCAGUGCUUUGGCCAGGCCAAAGGGAAAGGGCAUAACACAAAAGCAACACUCGGAUGGGAGAAGCCCAGAACUAAAUUCACACACCCCUAAAGGGACUUCAAAACCAAGUCCAAAAUCUAGCCCUUAGGAACUGAAAUGGGGGCUUCGCUGUCAAGUCAUAGACAAGAAGACUGAGAACUUUAUAGACUGAAACUGGAUAACUCCAUCUUCUCUCAUCUCACCUCUAACGUCUAAAGCAUGACCAAGGUACUGCUGAAAUAUGAGCCAUCCACCCCGGAGGACAAAUGAGGCUUCUAAGGAAAGGGAUGACCAGGGACCUAAGGCAGGUCUCCUGCAUGCAACAGGCUCAGCCGCAUCAGCAGCCAGGAGCAGAGACCACGAGCAGUACAGGUCAGGAUGUGACCAGCACCUGCUGCUCCCACCCAACACACAAGUCAGCUCCUACUGCCUGGGGAGGAGGAAAGCAGGGUGGCAGCCCUCUCGUCUCUCUCUGGUUGUGAUAGCUGCUCUGUGGACCUGGCAAGUAAAAUGGAAACCACGUGCCAGUUCUGAAUGCUAAAGGAUUACAGAGGAUUUUGAAGGAAGGUCAUGCCACCACAUAUGGGAAACUGGUUGCUCUGUUCAUGCUCAGCAUUCAGCCAUUUGUUUGGGAAAAGCCAUCCUGAAGGCCAAAGGGGCAUGCUCUCCUUCAGUGUGACUGACCUCAAUGCAACCAGGCCCAGGAGAAGUCUGUCUCUAUGCAAGAAGCUAACACAGCCAUUGCCUCUUACCUCGGAUCUCGUACUCCUCCACAUCAUCUGCAGAGCCCGAAUCAGACAGGCGCAUGGAGCCAUGGGAGCUGAACUGGGACUCGCUGUCAGUCGCUGCAAGGCCUGGGAGGCAAAGGGAAGGCAACACAGUCAGGCCAUCAGUGCGAGCAGCUGAACAGGGCACAGAGAGCAAGGGGGUGAAGUGAUAGCCAGCUGUGGCCAGGGCAGGGUGGGUGGCAAGGAUGGAAAACAGGUUCUGUGGCUUCAAAACGAAACCACAUUCCUUAACUCAGUGUCACCAGGGGACGAGUGUUAGGUAUAUAUGGUAUCAGCCCCACUACGGUCUGUAAAAUAACAGGCUUUCACAAAUCUCUGCAGCACCCUGUUAGAAAUGAGCCCAAAAAACAUCACCCACUGUCUGAGCCCAUCUCCUGGCAGGUAGAGAACAGGUGCUUGGUGCGGAUCUGCUGGCGCCUAAUGCGAAUCUUUUGUUUGAGCUCUUGGAUCUCCUUGUCGCUGUCUUCCUCUUCCUCCUCCAGCUGUCGGCUCAUCAUGUUGCAUUUCAUCAGCUCGAUAGCAGCAAUCAGUGACUCUGAGAUGCUAAAGUGAGCAUUCUCCUGCAAGGCAAAAGCAAAAGUAUUUGAGGCUGUAGCACAGGGAAAUUGGGAAGCCUUGGUAAAAUGGGGUUUAACGUUUUCAUCCAGAAAGGUGGCAGAAAGACCUUAUACCUUUCUGGCCCUGUGAAGCCUCACUCUCCUAUAAGAACCUAGAAAUUAAAGCCUUUUGAGGCAACAGAAUUGUUGCAAAACAUAGGGGAAAUCUUACAAAGUGGAUGUGCAACAUCUUCACUGUGGGGAGUCAGCACAUGCCCGUAAGGAGCCCCAGCAGGCAUCCUUGAGGCCAGCCAUAAAUGAGCAACUCAACUUGAAAGUUCUACCCCCAGCUCUACAGCAGGAAGUAGCCUGUGAUUAUCUCCCCCAGGGAGGAAAGUAGCACUGAAUCUGCAGAAAAAUAAUUUCUCCAAAGCACACAGGCUGCUGCCUUCCUCACCUUCUCCAGGUCUGCACAGCUGCCAAAGUCCUGCUCAGAGAGGUAACUGAUGAGGGACUGCCCUUCUGAGGGUCUUCUGAACAUCCCUUCCCCCGAGCUCAGGUACUGGCCAGAGUCUAGAAAAGCAAGACAGGAACAUUAUGAUGGAAGGACCAAGAAAUCCACUGCUCCGAGCACUGGGUACCAGCCCAUGCUCUGUGCCAACAUACUGGCUAGUUCACAGAGUCAACAGCUGUCUAUCCCACCCUGCAGACAGAACUGGAUCCAGCUUCAUCCACUCAAACGGAGAACAGUGACCAACACAGAGCCAUUACAAUGACAGCAGGCAUCCUGAAACCAUCCAGCCCUCCUGAAUAUCCCACCCUAAGCAGGAAGGAGCGGGAGAUCACUUGACUGUUCUGGCUGCUACCGGAUGCUCUUCUGCUUCUCUGUGGCUCUUGGACAGGAGGCAGCAGUAAUUUUGGAACAAUGACUAGGGCCAGCUCUACCCUGGAACACAAGGAGACCCUGACCUCAGGCAGCCCUAGGGCACCACCACAGCACAUCAUUAAUAAUCAUCAUCCCCACACAUCCUGGGCAGAGCUGCUAAGACAGCAACCACAAAAGUACUCCUGGCAGGUCCUCAUAGCAGCCUUCAGGUAGCCAAUGUUUGUUAUUUGGGAUAAAAAGAAAGAGCAGGCAUAUGCCAAAUAACAAAACAAUAUGAAUAACAGACAUGCUCUAUCAUACCAUAGGUAGUGGAGUAGAUACACACCCAUGCCAAAAGGAAAAGCUUUUAAUGAGGUGCUCAGCAUCCAUGCUGCUGGACCCACAGAGGCUCCUGCAGAGCCCACAUCUGAGCACUGCAGUGAGUCCUCAUUCACCUAGAAGGCCAGACAGACCUUCAGGGUGCUAUCCCCAAGCUAACAAGCCUUUCCAGUUCCCAACCAACUCACUACAGGCCAGCUCCUACAUGCCUGCAUCCCACAAGCAGGUGCCAGAAGCUGAGACCGCUACAGUUUGUGCCCAGGAGCAAACAUCCCCACUGAUGCUCACUGUACUAACCAUACUCCAUGUAGAGGGAGCUGGGUGUGCUCAGUUCACUGCUCUGGGUGGAACUGGAGACCGUUCCUCUUCCUCCAACUGUAUCAGCAUGAGACUCUGCAAGGGAAGACAACACCAGGCACAUGUCAGCAAUCCAGAAGUGCCCAGCCCAGAGCAUGGUGUGAAAUGGAAGGAGCUCAUCAUCACAUGGGUGGGCACAAAUGGAUGGGAAUCAACGGGGGAAAUCCUCCACUUGGCUCACCUGCUCUGUGUCAUGCCUGAAGUCAAGCCCAAGAGGGAAGACAGCUAGAGGGGCAUUUCAGGCAGCAGGGGAUGAAAGGGAAAGAAGAGAAGGCCAUGACAACCGCGGAUCAGUCAAGUCCUGAGCUUUCCUCUCUUUAUUCCCUGCAAUUCUGGGGAAUGCAAUAAUUGCUGCAAGCACCUCUGACAGCCCCAUCUUCUUCCUGGAGCAGCUCCAAGGAAGAGUCACCCCACAGAGCUGGGACAUAAGACAAGGGGAUAUCUGAGCAGCCAAAGGACGUGUGGGGCUCGUGGCCUGGACAGGGGUGGAAGGAGGCAUCUGAAGGACACACUCUUGCUCAGCUGGGAAAACCCAGGGUUCCCUGAAGCCCCAGAGCCAGGAUCACAGUGAUCAAGGUCACCUCCCAAGGCACGUGCUGCAGGGCUGCACACUGCCAGGCAGAGCUGGUGGAGACCGCCAGGAGCCGGCCUCAUCGGGGACAAACAACCACCAGCAUUGUGCAGACAGCAAGGCCCCAGAGAGCAGCUGACUUGGGUGGGAAGGCCAAAAAACACCCUGGAGCUGGAAAGCAGCACCCUGCAGCCUCUGCUGGAGCCAGAGCCAGAGCAAGGCACAGGGUUGGGCACAUCUGUCCAUGCUCCUGCCAACUCUAGGAGGAGCAUUCCCAGCCAUGGACUGCUCAGCACUCAGUGCCAUCAGCAUCAAACUGUCCCCUGCUGCAGAUCUGCCCCAUGAAAAAUAUCACAUUGAAGCCCAUGCCUUCAGGGCUACCAGCCCUUGGCCACCAGGGGCAACCUCUUCUGGUUCCCAGAGUAAUAGGGGUAGAGGAGAGGACAGGGGAAGAAGCUCAGGGACUUGAUGGUCAGCGCUUCGUAAUGCCAUGCAGGAGAGCUGGGUGCCAGCCUUGGUCUGGGCCCACUGCUGCCAAAACCAAGCUGUGAUCUUCAGUCAGGCCACAUGCAUAAACCUGAGGCACCCUUCAAAGCACCUGGGACUCGUGGGAGAAAAAAAUUUUGUUUGCUUUCUAAAUGGAUACUAAUGGGUUGAUGGAAAUUCUGAACUUAAUGCAGUGAUCACUAAUGAAAGGCUGCUUUGCUGGCUCCCAAACCUG